ACCUUUGGGGUCGGGCAACCUUCAGGUAGAUCACGCUGCCUCCUCCUUUCGCAGGUACAGCUCCCAGGGUUGUGUUUUGAGCCCAGGACCAAACACCCCAGAACCCAGCCUUCUCCACGCCGAUGCCUUACAGCGCCUGGUCGCCCUGUCCCAUGGCCACGGCCAGGAGUGCGGCUUCGUCCCCGAUGUGAAGCCCCCAGCCUCGGGCAGCCCAGCCCAGCUGGUGUGGGAGUGCGUGGCCGGACACAGCUUCUCCUGGGGCGUCCCCACCGUGGCCGAUGGCCAGCAGCCGUGGGGAGUCACCGAGGAGGAUUCGGGGCGCAGCUCCCCACCGGUCCCCGGGCGCCGGCGGUCGUUGCGGCGGGCAGGGCUCGCUGCCGAGACCAAGGUGGACGAAUCCAGCCCCAGGAAGGACGGUGCUGAACCGGAGGUAGCAGCUUGGUCACCCGCUGGCGAUGGAAACCAGAGGGAAGAGGCGGGUGAAAGUAGCGACGCAGCUCCACGAGGGCAGACAGAGACAGCAGCUACAGGACCAGAUCAUGAGAGCACAUCCGUGUUGGAGGAGAAACCGGAGCAGGGCAGCGCGUCUCAGGAAGAAGAGGAGGAAGAGGAGGACGAGGACUUUGUCGAGGAAGAUGACCUUGCCUACACUGAUGACCUGCGUGAUGAGAACUACCACCCUUCUCUGGACAGCGACUCGGAGCUGCAGAGACGCCAAAGCCAGCCAAAAUCCCGUAAGAAACCCGUGAAAGAGGAUCAGAGCCUGAGCGAGCCGAGCCUGAUCGACUCCAGCCCAGCAGAGGAGAGGGGUGGGCGAGUCAGCUGCAAGCGGCGAACGCGGUCGUGCGACGAGGACGUGGCCCAGAUCGGCCCCAAGAGGAUCAGGUAG
ensembl:lncRNA